rnacentral:rRNA from 1 species
ACUCAAAGGAAUUGACGGGGGCCCGCACAAGCAGUGGAUUAUGUGGUUUAAUUCGAAGCAACGCGAAGAACCUUACCAGGGCUUGACAUGGAGUCUGCCGGCUAAGAGAUUAGCCUUCCCUUCGGGGGGACUCACACAGGUGGUGCAUGGUUGUCGUCAGCUCGUGUCGUGAGAUGUUGGGUUAAGUCCCGCAACGAGCGCAACCCCUAUUGUUAGUUGCUACGCGAGAGCACUCUAGCGAGACUGCCGUUGACAAAACGGAGGAAGGCGGGGACGACGUCAAAUCAUCAUGCCCCUUAUGUCCUGGGCUACACACGUAAUACAAUGGCGUUAAACAGAGGGAAGCGAAGCAGUGAUGUGGAGCAAAUCCCCAAAAGGCGUCUCAGUUCGGAUCGCAGGCUGCAACUCGCCUGCGUGAAGUCGGAAUUGCUAGUAAUCGCGGAUCAUCAUGCCGCGGUGAAUACGUUCCCGGGCCUUGUACACACCGCCCGU